rnacentral:rRNA from 1 species
CGGCCGCGUCGACGAACGCUGGCGGCGUGCUUAACACAUGCAAGUCGAACGAUGACUUUUGUGCUUGCACAAAAUGAUUAGUGGCGAACGGGUGAGUAACACGUGAGUAACCUGCCCUUGACUCUGGGAUAAGCCUGGGAAACUGGGUCUAAUACUGGAUAUGCACCGUGAACCGCAUGGUUUUGGUGGAAAGAUUUAUUGGUCAAGGAUGGACUCGCGGCCUAUCAGCUUGUUGGUGAGGUAAUGGCUCACCAAGGCGACGACGGGUAGCCGGCCUGAGAGGGUGACCGGCCACACUGGGACUGAGACACGGCCCAGACUCCGUACGGGAGGCAGCAGUGGGGAAUAUUGCACAAUGGGCGAAAGCCUGAUGCAGCGACGCCGCGUG